rnacentral:rRNA from 1 species
ACGGAAGGCAGCAGUGGGGAAUAUUGCACAAUGGGGGAAACCCUGAUGCAGCGAUGCCGCGUGGAGGAAGAAGGUUUUCGGAUUGUAAACUCCUGUCUUAAAGGACGAUAAUGACGGUACUUUAGGAGGAAGCUCCGGCUAACUACGUGCCAGCAGCCGCGGUAAUACGUAGGGAGCGAGCGUUGUCCGGAAUUACUGGGUGUAAAGGGAGCGUAGGCGGGACUGCAAGUCAGAUGUGAAAUGCCGGGGCUUAACCCCGGAGCUGCAUUUGAAACUGUGGUUCUUGAGUGAAGUAGAGGCAAGCGGAAUUCCUGGUGUAGCGGUGAAAUGCGUAGAUAUUAGGAGGAACAUCAGUGGCGAAGGCGGCUUACUGGGCUUUAACUGACGCUGAGGCUCGAAAGCGUGGGGAGCAAACAGGAUUAGAUACCCUGGUA